UUUCAUUUCCUCGUCGCUUCUGUGUGUUCCAAGGCACUUUUUGGACCAACUCAGGGAGGCAGUCAGUCCGACUGCCUUUUCUGCCGACGGUUGGCCGUCGGGUUGGUGUGUCAGAGCCUUA